rnacentral:rRNA from 1 species
UACGUAGGGUGCAAGCGUUGUCCGGAUUUAUUGGGCGUAAAGAGCUCGUAGGCGGCUUGGCAAGUCGGGUGUGAAACGUUCAGGCUCAACCCUGGAGAUGCCACCCGAUACUGCUAUGGCUUGAGUCCGGUAGGGGACCACGGAAUUCCUGGUGUAGCGGUGAAAUGCGCAGAUAUCAGGAGGAACACCGGUGGCGAAGGCGGUGGUCUGGGCCGGCACUGACGCUGAGGAGCGAAGCGUGGGUAGCAAACAGG